UACGAAGGUUGCGAGCGUUAUCCGGAUUUAUUGGGUUUAAAGGGUGCGUAGGCGGUCUUAUAAGUCAGUGGUGAAAUCUCGUUGCUUAACAACGAACGUGCCAUUGAUACUGUAGGACUUGAGUACAGUUGCCGUUGGCGGAAUGUGUCAUGUAGCGGUGAAAUGCAUAGAUAUGACACAGAACACCGAUUGCGAAGGCAGCUGACGAAACUGUAACUGACGCUGAGGCUCGAAAGCGUGGGGAUCAAACAGG
rnacentral:rRNA from 1 species